CCUACGGGGGACAGCAGUGAGGAAUAUUGGUCAAUGGGCGCGAGCCUGAACCAGCCAAGUCGCGUGAGGGAUGAAGGCUCUAUGGAUCGUAAACCUCUUUUAUAAGGGAAUAAAGUGUGGGACGUGUCCUUUUUUGUAUGUACCUUAUGAAUAAGGAUCGGCUAACUCCGUGCCAGCAGCCGCGGUAAUACGGAGGAUCCGAGCGUUAUCCGGAUUUAUUGGGUUUAAAGGGUGCGUAGGCGGCCGUUUAAGUCAGCGGUGAAAGUCUGUGGCGCAACCAUAGAAUUGCCGUUGAAACUGGGGGGCUUGAGUAUGUUAGAGGCAGGCGGAAUGCGUGGUGUAGCGGUGAAAUGCUUAGAUAUCACGCAGAACCCCGAUUGCGAAGGCAGCCUGCCAGGCCAUGACUGACGCUGAUGCACGAAAGCGUGGGGAUCAAACAGGAUUAGAUACCCUUGUAGUC
rnacentral:rRNA from 1 species